rnacentral:rRNA from 1 species
UACGUAGGGUGCAAGCGUUAAUCGGAAUUACUGGGCGUAAAGCGUGCGCAGGCGGUUAUGUAAGACAGAUGUGAAAUCCCCGGGCUCAACCUGGGAACUGCAUUUGUGACUGCAUAGCUAGAGUACGGUAGAGGGGGAUGGAAUUCCGCGUGUAGCAGUGAAAUGCGUAGAUAUGCGGAGGAACACCGGUGGCGAAGGCAGUCCCCUGGGCCUGUACUGACGCUCAUGCACGAAAGCGUGGGGAGCAAACAGG